GUAGGUGGCAAGCGUUGUCCGGAAUUAUUGGGCGUAGAGCGCGCGCAGGCGGUUCUUUAAGUCUGAUGUGAAAGCCCACGGCUCAACCGUGGAGGGUCAUUGGAAACUGGAGAACUUGAGUACAGAAGAGGAAAGCGGAAUUCCACGUGUAGCGGUGAAAUGCGUAGAGAUGUGGAGGAACACCAGUGGCGAAGGCGGCUUUCUGGUCUGUAACUGACGCUGAGGCGCGAAAGCGUGGGGGAGCAAACAGGAUUAGAUACCCUGGUAGUCCACGCCGUAAACGAUGAGUGCUAAGUGUUAGGGGGUCUCCGCCCCCCCCUUAGUGCUGCAGCUAACGCAUUAAGCACUCCGCCUGGGGAGUACGGCCGCAAGGCUG
rnacentral:rRNA from 1 species